rnacentral:rRNA from 1 species
CCCUACCGGGGUACUGAACUUAAUUAAACUCCGAAUACCGCAGAGUGAAGUCCGGGAGUCAGACUGUGGGGGAUAACCUUCAUAGUCGAGAGGAGAAUAAUCCAAACCAUCAGUUAAGGUCCCAAAAUACGGCUCAGUGAAAAAGGAUGUGAUUUUGCUUAGACAAUGGGGAUGUUGGCUUAGAGGCAGCCAUCAUUUAAACAGUGCGUAACAGCUGACCCAUCGAGCGAAAUUGCGCCGAAAAUGAUCGGGACUUAAGCCGUAUACCGAAGCUAUGGGUUUACCGCAAGGUAAGCAGUAGGAAAGCGUCCCAAGUGCGGCGAAGUGGAAGGGGUAACCGACCAUGGAGCGCUUGGGAGUGAGAAUGCAGACAUAAGUAACGAUAAAGCCGGUUGAAUUCCGGCUCGCCUAAAUCCCAAGGAUUCCUGGGGAAGGUUCGUCCUCCCAGGGUUAGUCGGGUGCUAAGACGAGGCCGUAAGGAGUAGUCGAUGCCAAGCAGGUUUAAUAUUCCUGCACCACUAUUCAUGUGUUCGACCUAUGGAGUGACGGAGACAGUUAACUCAGCAACGUGUUGAAUCGUUGUCCAAGCCUGUAGACUGCUCGGGGAUAAAAUACCGGGUAAGGUUUAAGGGCAAUGGGACCUUGAGGCCACGGCCGAUGGGGAUUGAGUGAUACUAUGCUUCCAAGAAAAGCUUCGUAGUUAGCAUGUGUAGUGCCCGUACCGUAAACCGACACAGGUGGGAAAGAUGAGUAUUCUAAGGCGCGCGAGUUAAAUCUCUCUAAGGAACUCGGCAAAUUAACCCCGUAUCUUCGGUAAAAGGGGUGCCCCGCAAGGGGCCGCAGUUAAUUGCGUCAACCGACUGUUUAGCAAAAACACAGCACUCUGCUAAGUCGCAAGACGACGUAUAGGGUGUGACACGUGACCAAUGCGGAAAGGUGAAAGUCUAGGGUGCAAGCUCUGGAUCUAAGCCCCCGUGAAUGUCGGCCGUAACUAUAACGGUCCUAAGGUAGCGAAACUCCUUGUCGGGUAAGUUCCGACCCGCACGAAUCGUGUAACGAGUUGACGACUGUCUCGGAGAGAGGCUCGGUGAAAUUGUAGUGGCGGUGAAGAUGCCGCCUACCCGCAGCAGGACGGAAAGACCCUAUGCACCUUUACUGUAAGCUGUUAUUGUCGCUUGACUUUCAAUACGUAGAAUAGGUGGGAGACUUCGAAGCCCGGUUUCAGGAUCGGGCUGAGUCACAAUGUGAAAUACCACUUUUUGUUAGUUAGGCGUCUAACCUCAUACCAUUAUCUGGUUGUGGGACAGUGAUAGCAGGUCAGUUUUUCUGGGGCGGAAUCCUCCCAAAGAGUAACGGAGGAUUACGAAGGUUCCCCC